GGUUCCGUAGUGUAGUGGUCAUCACGUUACGUUCGCUUCACACGCGAAAGGUCCCCGGUUCGAUCCCGGGCGGAACCA